rnacentral:rRNA from 1 species
UACGUAGGGGGCGAGCGUUGUCCGGAUUUAUUGGGCGUAAAGAGCUCGUAGGCGGUUUGGUAAGUUGGAUGUGAAAACCCGGGGCUCAACUCCGGGCCUGCAGCCGAUACGGGCAGACUAGAGUUCGGCAGGGGAGACUGGAAUUCCUGGUGUAGCGGUGAAAUGCGCAGAUAUCAGGAGGAACACCGGUGGCGAAGGCGGGUCUCUGGGCCGAUACUGACGCUGAGGAGCGAAAGCGUGGGGAGCGAACAGG